rnacentral:rRNA from 1 species
CAGCCGCCACGGUAAUACGGAGGGUGCAAGCGUUAAUCGGAAUUACUGGGCGUAAAGCGUGCGUAGGCGGUUCGUUAAGUCUGUUGUGAAAGCCCCGGGCUCAACCUGGGAAUGGCAAUGGAUACUGGCGAGCUAGAGUGUGUCAGAGGAUGGUGGAAUUCCCGGUGUAGCGGUGAAAUGCGUAGAGAUCGGGAGGAACAUCAGUGGCGAAGGCGGCCAUCUGGGACAACACUGACGCUGAGGCACGAAAGCGCGGGGAGCAAACGGGAUUAGAUACCCGCGUAGUCCCUGUCUCUUAUAC